UGUGAACAUUAACUGCUGUGAUGUAUGCUUUUGCUAAGGCAUUAGCAAAUUACUAAUUCCAGGACAGCUUCAUCAUCCUCCAAAAAGAAACCAGUACCCAUUAGCAGUCAUUCCUCAUUCUCCCUCAGC